AUGCUAAAUUUUCUUGAAGCGGGUCUUAAGGUUUGUUCAAUUAGGUAUAAAAUACUUGAUGGAACAAUGUCCGUCGCUGAAAGAGAUGAAGUUGUUAAGGAAUUUAAAACAAACUCUGAGGUUUGUAAAGUCAUAUAUGGAUUCUUGAAGUUGUAUAAUUACCUAAACAUACCCUGUAUUUUAUUAACCUUCCAUGUAUUUGAUUGA